CCUUAGCACAUACUUGGUGAGAAUCCACAACGAUGAUAGAUACGUCUCCUUAGCCACGAAAUUUAUAGAAGAGGUGAAACAAAAAAUCAGCAAUAUUUUGCAAAACAGGUGAAGGGAAUAAAGUAUUUUUGAUACAGAUAGCUGGCAUAUCCUUAUGAACAUACUUGGUGAGAAUCCCAGAUAAUCUCACACAGUAGUCGAACUCUGGUUGCUGGGUGCACCGCCGUGAACCCAAUCACUGGGCUUUGCCCCGUCCUCGUCACAGCUACGACUUCGAUCUUAAAUAUAUUAAUACUGUUUCCCGGUAUAAUAUAUUGAUAUUGUUUGGUAUAUUGGAAGUUGAAACCCGUCGCUCUCUGCGUCUCCCGGUCGCAGCUCUCAGCCUCUCCCCCGCCGCCUCCCAUCCCCUUUCCCUCGCACAGCCGGCGUCAGAUUCCGUCGCGGUCCGCCACUCCGGCCGCCGCCUAGCACGGCCACGACCACGGGCUGAUCUACCACUUCCACCAUAUGGAUUCGGUCUUCCCCGCCACCACCGCUCGCGCGCCGUACUAGGGUUUCCGGCUGCUCCAUGGACAAGCAGCUGCAGCUCCUCCCCGACACAACCGCUGCUAGGUUUCAUUGCAAUAUCAAAAGCUUUUUUACAGGUCCUCUUAUAUAAAUAAAUGCCUCUCAUGACAUAUCAUUGGCAAUGUUAAAGAUACGUGUCAGACCCAGCUGAUCGUGACGAACACAAGCUGUAGUUCAGAGAGGAAUUCAAUUGCAUUUCAGGGGCGAAUUGCCGAGGAUUUAUCUUACAACCAGAGGCACCUAAGCCGGCCAGGAACACUGGCGGGGCGAUGGGGAAACCCUACAUAUGAUAGUGCUCUACCGAGCCGGAAUCCAUGGCUUUAUAGCCUUACACAAAAGGGGUAAAAAUUCAGGGAAAAGCGGUAAAAAGAUGAUGAUGCGCUCUCCUGCAGAAGCUCACGGCGUCAGCUGAACACGGAGGUACGUUGGCCGUCGGAUCGGAGAUCAACGCCUCCCGCAACUUCAAUGCUGUAGCGCGCCCUCCACCCUGUCUUUUAACACAUGGAGACCUACAGUGAAUUCUUGGCAGUUUUGAAUAGAGAGAUCCCUGUAACUCGUAACUUUGACCUGCAAUGAAGUAUUCAAAGUUUCGAAUACAGAUUUUAUGCUUUCUGUUGUAAGCCUCCCCCUACAUGCGGGAUGCUGUACAUACAAUUGCACGCAUGAUACCAGUGAAUAUUUUGCAUA